AUUUCCUAAAAACCUUUCUUGCCUCCUGAAGACAUUACCAUACCUUACAAUAAUCCAACCAGUUGUAUUUGUAGGAUUAAGCAAAAACAGAUGGGAAGACCUUCUAGUCACAGGGCAGUGGCUCCUCACAUUCAUGCAGCUUUAGGAUAAAACUCCUCUAUUCCACAUUGUUCUUGAAGAGAACUGGGGCUGGGAGAAUCCAAAGCAGAGUCAGGCAGUGAACUAAAAAUGAUGUGGACAUUCAAAAAGUUCAAUACUCAAAUGAGAGUUCUGGUAUUCUUUUCUUAAGCAGUAAAUGUAAAGAUAGUGAUUUGUUAAAUGUUAAGGAUGUAUCCUUCGAUUCCAAGGCAAAGAUACAAGAGAAGAUGGGGAUGAAAACUUACGUUGCUGAAAUGUGAUCUGCCUGGCCUGAUGCACUGUCCCAAGGAAAAGGGAACCCUGAAGGUGGCCAGGGUCAUCUCAGCAGACUGAAAACUGAUUGAAACCUCAGAGGAGAACUAAGUAUCAGCCAAAAAUUACUUGAAAAUGAGCCUGCAUUUUGCUCAAAUAAGUUAAUGAACCUCUGUGAACUUUCAAGACUGGGCUGAAUUUCAAGAUUGGAACAAUGCUCAAAGCCAGCUUACCAAGGGAUGUGUGUUUGUGUGUGUGUGAAGUGGGGAGACAGAGACACAAAGAGGGCUGAAAAUUCAGCAGAUUUUCUGUUUCAGCUGCAGCUUCUGUCUUCCACUCAUGCUGCAACAAGAAGGGAAGAAAAUCUGUCUACCAUUAUAUGCUGAUACAGUUAAAUGCACAAGCUGGCUAGCAUUUCCAUGGGUUGGCUGCAAGUCAGGAAGGUACCCGUAAAAUAGAAAAAUAAAAAUCUGUGUGUGCAUGCAUUUGUGUAUGUGUGUGUAUGUACAUAGAUAUAGAUAAAAUACAAAAUAACCGGGACAUGGCAAUUAUUUUUCUCCUGGUUUUAAAAUGGAUUCCACUCUGUUAUCAUUGCCAAAAUAAAAUAAAAUAAACCAAGUGUUUCUUUCAAGACAUCUUGCAGUCUUUAUCAUGUCAAUAAACAUACACUGGAAAACCAAAGAGAAACAAUUGGUGUUUUUAGCAGAGA